rnacentral:rRNA from 1 species
UACGUAGGGUGCAAGCGUUAAUCGGAAUUACUGGGCGUAAAGCGUGCGCAGGCGGUUCUAUAAGACAGAUGUGAAAUCCCCGGGCUCAACCUGGGAACUGCAUUUGUGACUGUAGAGCUGGAGUACGGCAGAGGGGGAUGGAAUUCCGCGUGUAGCAGUGAAAUGCGUAGAUAUGCGGAGGAACACCGAUGGCGAAGGCAAUCCCCCGGGCCUGUACUGACGCUCAUGCACGAAAGCGUGGGGAGCAAACAGG